AAAUCAACUGUCACAAGUAUGUUAUUCAUGUGACCUUUAUUUUUAACUUCACUCUUUUCAGAUUAUAUUUGGCUGUCCUACAUUGGAACGAAAAUUGUGAUAGAGCCCAGGCUGUUGAUGCCGAAGGGAACCCAGUGUACAGGUUGAGGUAUCCACGCUCGAAGGAAGGAGGCCACACAGUGGAGAGAGUGCUGACAGCUGGCACAUGUGGUUAUGUGAAAGCCCUGAUGAGAGUUUGUCGUAGAACUGGUGGAAAACAGGGAGCAGCUCAGAGACAACAUGGAGGAGCUACAGCCUCAACCAGCACGGAGUGCCUCUCAUCAUCACCCCGACAAUGGAGAAGCCGUGCAAGCUUUUGAACAACAUCAUCGCUUUGGCGAUAGAAACUAGUUCUUUUGGUGAUA